ACCUGGCUAGCUCAGUAGGUAGAGCAUGAGACUCCUAAUCUCAGGGUCACGGGUUCAAGCCCCACAUUGGGUA